AUUGAACGCUGGCGGCAGGCCUAACACAUGCAAGUCGAGCGGAGCGGCGGACGGGCGAGUAAGGCCUAGAUAUCGGCCUGGUCGUGGGGGAUAACGUCCGGAAACGGGCGCUAAUGCUGCAUACUAUCAGAUGAGCCUAGGUCGGAUUAGCUAGCUGGUGGGGUAAAGUCCUACCAAGGCGACGAUCCGUAACUGGUAUGAGAGGAUGAUCAGUCACACUGGAACUGAGACACGGCCCAGACUCCUACGGGAGGCAGCAGUGGGGAAUAUUGGACAAUGGGCGAAAGCCUGAUCCAGCCAUGCCGCGUGUAUGAAGAAGGUCUUCGGAUUGUAAAGCACUUUAAGUUGGGAGGCGUUACCAACAGAAUAAGCACCGGCUAACUUCGUGCCAGCCGCCGCGGUAAUUC
rnacentral:rRNA from 1 species